rnacentral:rRNA from 1 species
ACUCCUACGGGAGGCAGCAGUGGGGAAUCUUGGACAAUGGGCGCAAGCCUGAUCCAGCCAUGCCGCGUGAGUGAUGAAGGCCCUAGGGUCGUAAAGCUCUUUCGCCAGGGAUGAUAAUGACAGUACCUGGUAAAGAAACCCCGGCUAACUCCGUGCCAGCAGCCGCGGUAAUACGGAGGGGUUAGCGUUGUUCGGAAUUACUGGGGCGUAAAGCGCGCGUAGGCGGAUUAGUCAGUUAGAGGUGAAAUCCCGGGGCUCAACCCCGGAACUGCCUUUAAUACUGCUAGUCUUGAGUUCGAGAGAGGUGAGUGGAAUUCCGAGUGUAGAGGUGAAAUUCGUAGAUAUUCGGAGGAACACCAGUGGCGAAGGCGGCUCACUGGCUCGAUACUGACGCUGAGGUGCGAAAGUGUGGGGAGCAAACAGGAUUAGAUACCCUGGUAGGAUAGCG